rnacentral:rRNA from 1 species
AUUGAACGCUAGCGGCAGGCCUAACACAUGCAAGUCGAGCGAGCGGCGGACGGGUGAGUAAUGUCUGGGAAACUGCCUGAUAGAGGGGGAUAACUACUGGAAACGGUAGCUAAUACCGCAUACCAUCUGAUGUACCCAUAUGGGAUUAGCUAGUAGGUGGGGUAACGGCUCACCUAGGCGACGAUCCCUAGCUGGUCUGAGAGGAUGACCAGCCACACUGGAACUGAGACACGGGCCAGAAUCCUACGGGAGGCAGCAGUGGGGAAUAUUGCACAAUGGGCGCAAGCCUGAUGCAGCCAUGCCGCGUGUGUGAAGAAGGCCUUCGGGUUGUAAAGCACUUUCAGCGGGGAGGCGUUACCCGCAGAAGAAGCACCGGCUAACUCCGUGCCAGCAGCCGCGGUAAUAC